rnacentral:rRNA from 1 species
CCCUUAGAUGUUCUGGGCCGCACGCGCGCUACACUGAUGCAUUCAACGAGUUUCUUCCUGGUCCGAGAGGGAUGGGUAACCUUUUGAAAGUGCAUCGUGAUGGGGAUAGACUAUUGCAAUUAUUGGUCUUCAACGAGGAAUUCCUAGUAGACGUAGUUCAUCAGACUGCAUCGAUUACGUCCCUGCCCUUUGUACACACCGCCCGUCGCUCCUACCGAUUGAAUGCUCAGGUGAGCCAUUCGGACUUUCAUCAUGCUGGUUUCCAGUUUUGAUGAAGGAAAGUCUUGCGAACCUUAUCAUUUAGAGGAAGGAGAAGUCGUAACA